ensembl:lncRNA
GUUUGUAUGUGUGUGAUGGCCUUGGCUUAUGCCCUGUCUGAUUUAUGUCAGCAGGUCCAGUGAGGAUAUCAACCAGGCCUGCUCCAGCAGAAGGAGGGACAGAGUGCUCGUCCAAACCCAACAAACCUGACCUCCCAAGUCCAACUGGGCAACAACAGAUCUACACUCUUAAACACAAAGCCAUGGAUGGAGCCUAGGACAACAAAAAUAAAAGUGUUAGAACGUUUCGUCAACAGGAAGGAGGACGAUGGAUUUGGCGUUCCUCUACAAGUAGGGGAGUGUACAAGCACGGGCGUUCGCUUCGCCUUCGCCUGAACCUACAGUGCAUUCGGUAACCAUGAUUGACAGAGGAAGAACAGUGAUUCCAAGCACCACCCUCCUUUUCAAGCUUCCAGUCUGUUAUUCGAACUCAAUCAGCAUGACAGAGUGAUCUCCAGCCUUGUCCUCGUCAACACUCAAACCUAUGCUAACGAGAGAAUCACUGACAUAAAGUCAGCUGGUCCCUUUGUGGCAGGGCUGAAAUGCAGUGGAAAUAUUUUUGGGGGGGAUUCAGUUCAUUUGCAUUGCAAAGAGGGACUUUGCAAUUAAUUGCGAUUCAUCUGAUCACUCUUUAUAACAUUCUGGAUUAUAUGCAAAUUGCCAUCAUACAAACUGAGUCAGCAGACGUUUUGAAAAUGUAUAUUUGUGUCAUUCUCAAAACUUUUUGCUACGACUGUACACACUUCUUUUUUUGAAUAUACCUUUAUUAUUCCCUGCAAACCCUACCACCCCUCCCCCAAUAGAGUAAAUUAAUCAACAAUAACAUUUAGGCUUCUACCUUCUGUUUAUACAUAUU